UAUUCUAUCAGAGUAGUCGAGUUGUAACAGGUGGUAUUGAGUUCUAAUGUCGUCAGUAUCGUUCUGGUAUUGUAAAUCUCGUUAACAUUAAUUAUCUCGUUCCGAGAGCUAAAGCUGCUGUUUAUUGUAAGGAAUGAAUGCACGAAUAUUAAAUUACUAAGCGAAAACGUGUUUAUCUCUGCGUCGUCUGCUUGCUGCGUCUACACCAUUGGCUACGGACUAGGCCUAGUCCCAAGUGAAUUCGACCCAAAGAGUACCUACGAGGUCAGGGAAAUACGAGUCCAGUGUACAUGGAGAACUGGCUGACUUGGCCGUUACUAGAGGCUGUGAGUAUCGAACGGAACGUUGGAAGAAGCACAAGGAAUUCACCGUAAGUGGAAAUUGUGACAAAAACCAUUGGGACUUCACAUGUAAUUUGCAACAUUCAAUAACUAUAGCCUACCUUUGAGACCUGAUUUGUUUUGGUGUGAAAAGUGAAAUCACACUUUUAAUAACCAGUAUUUGUAAGAAAUCUCUUUUAGCACUAUUAGGUAUAUGUUUAAUAUGCGUACAUAUAAA